GGAUUUAACAUGUGAUUUGUUUGAACCUAGAGUAACCUGAUCACUCUUAUUUCGUUUGAAUGUGUAUUUUGGGCUGCAGUCCAACUCCUUUCGCUACUCACACCACCAAUUCUAUUGCACCUCUCUGGAAGCAAAGCUGAAAGGCCAAUGGGCCUCCUACAUGGGUAUUGUGCCCUUUCUUUAUUUGCACCACACUUCUACUGUUCUGCACCCCCCUGAUUGCAGUAUUUUUCU
rnacentral:lncRNA from 1 species